AUUGACGGAAUGACAAUCGGGUAUCUUCGAACGGCGUAAAAGUCGAAAAGGAGCUUGGCAAGUAACAACCCAGCACGAAUAAAAGAGGUCGUUGAUGACCUUAAGACAACGUGAAAAAGACAAAAGGAAAAUGAAGAAGUUCGACAGACAACUAUUCGAUGCAAGGUACAGACAAGGUAACAAAAUUUCCUCUUCAUUUAAUAAGAUAUACGUUACAAGA
rnacentral:lncRNA from 1 species